rnacentral:rRNA from 1 species
UACGAAGGGGGCUAGCGUUGCUCGGAAUCACUGGGCGUAAAGGGCGCGUAGGCGGAUCUUUAAGUCGGGGGUGAAAGCCUGAGGCUCAACCUCAGAAUUGCCUUCGAUACUGGAGAUCUUGAGACCGGAAGAGGUAAGUGGAACUGCGAGUGUAGAGGUGAAAUUCGUAGAUAUUCGCAAGAACACCAGUGGCGAAGGCGGCUUACUGGUCCGGAACUGACGCUGAGGUGCGAAAGCGUGGGGAGCAAACAGG